rnacentral:rRNA from 1 species
GACGAACGCUGGCGGCGUGCUUAACACAUGCAAGUCGAACGGAAAGGCCCUGCUUUUGUGGGGUGCUCGAGUGGCGAACGGGUGAGUAACACGUGAGUAACCUGCCCUUGACUUUGGGAUAACUUCAGGAAACUGGGGCUAAUACCGGAUAGGAGCUCCUGCUGCAUGGGGGGGGUUGGAAAGUUUCGGCGGUUGGGGAUGGACUCGCGGCUUAUCAGCUUGUUGGUGGGGUAGUGGCUUACCAAGGCUUUGACGGGUAGCCGGCCUGAGAGGGUGACCGGCCACAUGGGGACUGAGAUACGGCGCAGACUCCUACGGGAGGCAGCAGUGGGGAAUAUUGCACAAUGGGCGGAAGCCUGAUGCAGCAACGCCGCGUGCGGGAUGACGGCCUUCGGGUUGUAAACCGCUUUCGCCUGUGACGAAGCGUGAGUGACGGUAAUGGGUAAAGAAGCACCGGCUAACUACGUG